AUUCGGUCCCCUCGCAACGAAGCGCUGUGAACCCGGUCAGGCCCGGAAGGGAGCAGCCGCAGC
rnacentral:SRP_RNA from 1 species